GUGCACACUUCAGUAUCACACAUACUAAAAUUAGAAUCAUACAAAGAUUAGCAUAGCCCUUGCCAGAGGAUGACACAUAAACCAGUGAUAUGUUCCCGUGUGUG